UGCCAGCAGCCGCGGUAAUACUAAAGGUGCAAGCGUUAAUCGGAAUUACUGGGCGUAAAGCGCGCGUAGGCGGUUUGGUAAGUCAAAUGUGAAAUCCCCAGGCUCAACCUGGGAACUGCAUUCGAUACUGCCAGGCUAGAGUGUGUAAGAGGAUAGUGGAAUUCCGGGUGUAGCGGUGAAAUGCGUAGAUAUCCGGAGGAACAUCAGUGGCGAAGGCGACUAUCUGGUACAACACUGACGCUGAGGUGCGAAAGCGUGGGGAGCAAACAGGAUUAGAUA
rnacentral:rRNA from 1 species